GGCAAUGGCGGAGGGGGUGCUGUGCGGGACGGACAGCCUGCGGGCAGGGGGAAGCGGGGUCCGUCACAAGCCGCGGCGCGGGCAGGUGUUGGCUGCAGGCGGGGUCUGCGCUGAAGGGAAUUUUGAACGGGGAUCGGGUUGAAGCACGUUGUGGGAGGCGACCGUGGAAUGGGCCUGGGGCGGUCCCGCAGCGCCUGGGGACCGUCCGGCUGCGGGUCGGUGCUGCGGGGGAGCGACAGCGCCGGAGUCACCGGGGUAUGGGGUUAAGUGCACAUCGCGUGGGCCUCAAGGGUUAGGAACUGUGCUUUUAUAAGCCUGUUGGUCUGUCAGGAAGAAACAUGUCUUAAUGUCACAGUGACUAGAGAGGGAAUUUAAAAAGUUAUGAUUAUUUAGUUGCUGGAUUAAUCGCAUCUGAGUUACACGGUUUGGAGAGUUCGCGCCACUCCGCAUAAAUACUUUUUACCAGCAAGCGGAAAAUAAACAGCUAGUGAUAAUACAGAAGAAAUAAAGACAGUUACUUUACACUUGCUCUGAAAAUCGGGUUCUUGCUGACUUCAAGGAACACGGAUGUGAUGCCUAGUAUGAGUUUGGUCUCUGGAGUGACAUCAGGCGAUUUUCUGGCAGCUGUUGGCACGUGAGCUGCAUUCACAGACUGAAGAGACAGACUACAUGUCUGAUUUUUUAGGAUUCCCGUGGAUACGCAGCAACACGUGCACAUGCUGUGUGCCCAACAUUCUGCAGAGACAGAUGUCGACCACCAGCAAGUUCAGAAACUGUCUUGGCUGUAACUUCCCUUGGGAGCAUAAGCUAGUCAGAAGUGGCAGCUGUUACAAUUUGUGCAUGUGCUGGGACCGCACUGGGGACUGCUGGCAGGAGGUCGCUCCAGCUAUUCUCUCCUCUUGGCCGAUGGUGAACUGGCCUGGCCAGGAGCCAGUGGAACAACCCUUUCUGCUCCCGCUGCUGCAAAGGAAGAAUUAACAGUUUUGGCUUGUUCAUACAAUCUUUGAAUGCUGAACUCAGUUCCAUGUGUGUUUUCACUUCGAAGUUUCACUGUGUUUCUGUCAGUUGUUUCUUCAGAAGAUUAGCACGGUUAGGGACGGUAAAGAAUGUUAUUGCCACUGCUACAUUACCUUUAUUGUGAACAUUGUGUUAAGAUCUGAGGCUCUUUAACAUUUAAUUCUCAGUCCAAAAAACUGAUACCCUCUGCAUUCAUGUCAUCUGUCGUCCAAGUGAGUUACUUAUCUGGAGUUUAUUGCUAUUUAUAAUUAUAAACACCAUGUUACAGCUCCUAAAUACAGGAACUCAGUACAUUUUGCAUCUUGUUGCAAGCUCCUAGGCCAUUGCCACUUCCAUUAACAGACUGAUUUAUUCAAAGGUGCAGAAAAUGACGUUGCACCUCUCUUUAACUCACACGGAUCCACACAAAUUAGAAAAUGAAGCUCUUUGUUUGUACAGAAGCUGUCAGAGCACAAGCAACUGCAGAGUAACCCUGAGACUCUGCAAAUGUCUGUCAUACCUUCCUCAGUUAUUCCUCCAGGUCAUUUCUUUCAUUUAUGCAGACAUUUGCCUUGUAACCCACUCUCCAAAGCAUUUCAGCAAUCCCUCUCAGUCUCACAUUACCUGUAUAUUUAAGAAGUACAUUAUCUACUCAGUAAUCCAAGAUAUUUCUAAACAUAGUGAGUUCCAGAAAGGAGCACAUGGAACCCUCUUUGAUUUAUUCUUCUGUUCCGAUAGGAUAUCACUUGCAUCACUGAGAAGGGUGUUUUGGCUUUGCAUGUCUGCUGUUGGAAGUUUAAUUUAUAUUAGGAUUCUCUAGUUUGACAGAAAGAAGCAGCAGCAAAGUUUACUAAAGUCAACAUCUACUGUUGUUCACAAAAUCUGCUGCACUGGUGUAGGAGGAAAAAUAAUUUGGUCCGAUGCAACUUAGCAAAUCCAUUCUUGACACUGUUCAAGAGAGUCUAUUUACUUUAGUAGUGCCUAGGAACUGAAGUUGAACUGAAAGGUCUAAUUAUUGGCUUCUCCUCAUUUUCCUCUUUUAACUUACACAUUGUCAUGCAUUGGCAUAUGUAACAGAAUAGUUUAAUAGACUAUUUCAGUUGGAGGGGAUGUACAUUGAUCAUCUAGUUCAACUGCCUGACCACUUCAAGGCUGACUAGAAGUUAAAACACAUCAUUAAGGGCAUUGUUCAGAUGCCUCUUACACACAGACAGGCUUGGGGCAUCAACCACUUCUCUAGGAAGCCUGUUCCAGUGUCUGACCACCGUCUUCGUAAAGAAAUGCUUCCUGAUGUCCAGACUAAACCUCCACUGGUGCAGCUUUGAACCGUUCCCACACAUCCUGUCACUGGAUACCAGGGAAAAGAGCUCAGCUCAUCCCUCUCCACUUCCCCUCCUCAGGAAGCUGUAGAGAGCCAUGAGGUUAUCCCCUCAGCCUCCUGUUUUCCAAACUAGACAAGCCCAAAGUCCGCAGCUACUCCUUAUAGGACAUAACUUUCACCAGCCCUAUGCCAUCCUCUGGGUACAUUUAUGGACCUUCACAUCCUUAUUAAAUGAUGGGGCCCAGAACUGCACACAGUACUUGAGAUGAGGCCUCACCAACACUGAAUACAGUGGGAUAAUAAUCUCUUUUGACCAGCUGGUGAUGCUGUGUUUGAUCCACCCCAGGGUGGGGUUUGCUUUCUUGGCUGCCAGGCUGAUUUUGAGCUGCUGCUGACCAGCAUCCCAGAUCCCUUUCUGCAGGGCUGCUCUCCAGCCACUCCUCUCCCAGUCCUUACUUGUGCCCAGGGUUACUCCAUCCUAGGUGCAGAAUCCGGCAUUUGGACUUGUUAAAUCUCAUCCUAUUAAUCAUAGCCCAGUGCUCUAAUCUAUCUAGAUCCCCCUGCAAGGCCCCCUGUCCCUCUAGAGAGUCCAGCACCUCCUAGUUUGGUAUCAUCAGCAGACUUGCUCGUGGUGCAUUCAACUGCUACAUCCAAACCAUUGAUAAAUACAUUGAACAGAACUGGUCUUAAGAUUGAGCCUUGAGGAACUCUGCUGGUGACUGGUUGCCAGCCAGAUGUAGCCCCAUUCACUACAAGCCAUUGAGCUCUGCCCUUCAGCCAGUUCUUCACCGAGUGCACUGGCUUCCUUUCAUCGAUGAGGCAGGUGACCUUAUUACAGAAGGAUAUCAAAUUAGUUAAACAGGACUUUCCCUUUGUGAAGCCAUGUUGACUGUCCCUGAUGUUACACCGUUCUUUAAAUGUCUUUCAGUAGUAUCCAUCAUAGUUAUUGCCAUAUUUUUUCCAGGAACUGAGGUUAGACUAAGAGGCCUGUAGUUCCCCGGUCUUUCCUCAUGCCCUUUUUGUAGACUGGAAUAACAUUCACUAGCUUCCAGUCAGCAGGGACCUCCCCAGACUCCCAAGACCUUUGGUAGAUAAUUAAGAGGCAGUAACAUUCACAUUGUACAUGAGUCUCAUUUAAAAUCCAGAUUUUAAAUAAAGUUGAACAUCAUAACAGUUCUCUGA